rnacentral:rRNA from 1 species
AAUCCAUAGGUUAAUGAGGCGAACCGGGGGAACUGAAACAUCUAAGUACCCCGAGGAAAAGAAAUCAACCGAGAUUCCCCCAGUAGCGGCGAGCGAACGGGGAGGAGCCCAGAGCCUGAAUCAGCAUGUGUGUUAGUGGAAGCGUCUGGAAAGGCGCGCGAUACAGGGUGACAGCCCCGUACACAAAAGCGCAUGUGCUGUGAGCUCGAUGAGUAGGGCGGGACACGUGGUAUCCUGUCUGAAUAUGGGGGGACCAUCCUCCAAGGCUAAAUACUCCUGACUGACCGAUAGUGAACCAGUACCGUGAGGGAAAGGCGAAAAGAACCCCGGCGAGGGGAGUGAAAAAGAACCUGAAACCGUGUACGUACAAGCAGUGGGAGCACAGGUUUACCUGUGUGACUGCGUACCUUUUGUAUAAUGGGUCAGCGACUUAUAUUCUGUAGCAAGGUUAACCGAAUAGGGGAGCCGGAGGGAAACCGAGUCUUAAUUGGGCGUUAAGUUGCAGGGUAUAGACCCGAAACCCGGUGAUCUAGCCAUGGGCAGGUUGAAGGUUGGGUAACACUAACUGGAGGACCGAACCGACUAAUGUUGAAAAAUUAGCGGAUGACCUGUGGCUGGGGGUGAAAGGCCAAUCAAACCGGGAGAUAGCUGGUUCUCCCCGAAAGCUAUUUAGGUAGCGCCUCGUGAAUUCAUCUCCGGGGGUAGAGCACUGUUUCGGCUAGGGGGCCAUCCCGGCUUACCAACCCGAUGCAAACUGCGAAUACCGGAGAAUGUUAUCACGGGAGACACACGGCGGGUGCUAACGUCCGUCGUGAAGAGGGAAACAACCCAGACCGCCAGCUAAGGUCCCAAAGUCAUGGUUAAGUGGGAAACGAUGUGGGAAGGCCCAGACAGCCAGGAUGUUGGCUUAGAAGCAGCCAUCAUUUAAAGAAAGCGUAAUAGCUCACUGGUCGAGUCGGCCUGCGCGGAAGAUGUAACGGGGCUAAACCAUGCACCGAAGCUGCGGCAGCGACGCUUAUGCGUUGUUGGGUAGGGGAGCGUUCUGUAAGCCUGCGAAGGUGGCCUGUGAGGGUUGCUGGAGGUAUCAGAAGUGCGAAUGCUGACAUAAGUAACGAUAAAGCGGGUGAAAAGCCCGCUCGCCGGAAGACCAAGGGUUCCUGUCCAACGUUAAUCGGGGCAGGGUGAGUCGACCCCUAAGGCGAGGCCGAAAGGCGUAGUCGAUGGGAAACGGGUUAAUAUUCCCGUACUUGGUGUUACUGCGAAGGGGGGACGGAGAAGGCUAUGUUGGCCGGGCGACGGUUGUCCCGGUUUAAGCGUGUAGGCUGGUUUUCCAGGCAAAUCCGGAAAAUCAAGGCUGAGGCGUGAUGACGAGGCACUACGGUGCUGAAG